GGAAUUGACGGGGCCCGCACAAGCGGUGGAGUAUGUGGUUUAAUUCGAUGCAACGCGAAGAACCUUACCUGGUCUUGACAUCCCGGAGACCCUUAGGAAACUAGGGGGUGCUUCCAUCUGGAAGAAUCUGGAGACAGGUGCUGCAUGGCUGUCGUCAGCUCGUGUCGUGAGAUGUUGGGUUAAGUCCCGUAACGAGCGCAACCCUUGCCCUUAGUUACCAGCACGUUAUGGUGGGCACUCUAAGGAGACUGCCGGUGACAAACCGGAGGAAGGUGGGGAUGACGUCAAGUCCUCAUGGCCUUUAUGACCAGGGCUACACACGUACUACAAUGGCCGAUACAAAGGGCAGCGACACUGCGAGGUGAAGCCAAUCCCGUAAAAUCGGUCUCAGUCCGGAUUGGAGUCUGCAACUCGACUCCAUGAAGUUGGAAUCGCUAGUAAUCGUGGAUCAGCAUGCCACGGUGAAUACGUUCCCGGGCCUU
rnacentral:rRNA from 1 species